rnacentral:rRNA from 1 species
UGCGUAGGCGGAAAAUUAAGUCAGUGGUGAAAUCCUGCAGCUUAACUGUAGAACUGUCGUUGAUACUGAUUUUCUUGAAUAUAGUUGAGGUAGGCGGAAUGUGUAAUGCAGCGGUGAAAUGCUUAGAUAUUACACAGAACACCGAUUGCGAAGGCAGCUUACUAAGCUAUUAUUGACGCUGAGGCACGAAAGCGUGGGGAGCGAACAGGAUUAGAUACCCUGGUAGUC